CUGAGAUUAUAACUUAUGAAACUGGCUCCCUGUGAAGUGUAAUUGUAAAUUUCCUUAGUCUGUAAAUUUAUUGUGGACUAUUUCUUAAGGUGAAGAACAAGCUGCCAUGAGGAUGCAAGUGGAAAGAGAUAUACAAAAGAAAACAGCAAAAAAAGUUAGAAAAGCAAGACAUUGCACAAAAUGUAAACUUCCUAUGCAAGGACACCCCAAAUAUCAGUGUCCUUUGCCUGAAUGCACAAGUUAACUUUGUUGAUUAAAAUUGUGAGUUGAGUGGUUUUUGGACUUUUAUAGCAUAGGGACAUAUAAAUAAUGACUUGGAUUGGAUUUAGUCAAGAGUUUGUUCUGUAAUUGUUUGACCCACACACACACAGAAUCCCCCCCCCCUGUGAUGGACAGAACAGUGAAGGCUUAAACCUUAAUAAAUUCCAUAUAAAGUCCGGUUUCAUCCCCAAUAUCUUGUAAGCACGGAUUCUAGGCUACCCCCUUCACGGAACAAGUCCACAAUGCAGCACAAAAACUAUUCAUCGACAAUCCCCGAGGGUACAUUUGACUUACUCAUAAUUGGGAGACCAGACUGCUUGAACCCACAACAUUUAGCAGUGUGUUGAUUGACUACUUACACAAGUAUUAACUCUCCUUGGUGGAGGAAAAUGUGCAGGCGUAUUAUGUGGUCUAUAAAUGUGUCGCCGACACCUGCACAUGUAUUUUUAAUUGAUAAGAUAACUAACAGCCUCUGCAUGGGAGAGGUAUGAACUCAAAAUAUGCUCAGUUAUUGUUCAGCAGUACUUCUUUCCUGUCCUGGCACAUAUCCUCCCAGUUGUGCACUGGCAUAGUGUUUCCUGAUUUCACUGUACAAACAAGCAGGAAGUGGCCUAGUGUUUUCAAAACCCAUGUACCCCCAAAGCCAUUUUGCCAGCCAUCUAUAAGUAACUGCACGUAAAUACCUAUGAUAAAUGAGAAAAAAUCACAAGUUGGAACCCCUUUGAAAGUACAAAAACAUGGAUGGCCAUUUAAAUUGACUUGAACUAUACUGGUAUUUAUACAGUUCGUCGUGUGCUUACUCAUUUUCCGUGGCCCCUGUUUGCCUUUUGUAACGUUUGCCAUUCUUGUCUCUUAACAGUGGCGCUACCUCGGUCAAGACAGCACGAUGCGUUAGGUGGCUAUAGUCUUCGUGUUCAACUAUGCAUCCAGCAUCUAAACCGAUGAAAGUGAACUUCUCAACGGCUUCAGC